rnacentral:lncRNA from 1 species
ACAGUCAAGAGGGAAAGAUGGGAAGCAGAAAGAGACGGAGACCUGCUAUCUUGGCCAACGAUCCCGUGAAGAGGGAACGGCGGUCUACGCAGGGAAUUCAGCUUCCUAUCAAGCCCAGCAGCUGUCACCCGCAGGUGCUGGGCUUCGUUGCUGUUUCUGGCAGGGUCCUGCUUCUCGCGCCAGCUGCACUGGGUUUGGCGUCUCUGCUGUUCGCUGAGAUCUGCACUCUCCAGGAGCCAUAGGGAGGACGCCAGGACAGCCCCGAAGACGAGAAUGCCUCGCUCCUCCUAGGACGGGAGGAAAAUCCCACAGAUCCUGCCUACUCCAAGCAGCCGCGCCCCUAGGGAGACCACCCCAGUUGGAGGGGCCCACUCCAGCCACCGCUACACCGGGACGCGCUCCUCCUCCCCCUGUGCCCGCCCCUUCUCAUGAGGGACCACCAGGAGGCCCCUCGAUUCCCCAGCAAAACACAGGUUUUGG